AUCCAGGUGACGAGUCCCAAAUAGGACGAAACUUGUGUCCUGGAU
rnacentral:hammerhead_ribozyme from 1 species